rnacentral:rRNA from 1 species
CCGUAAACGAUGUCGAUUUGGAGGUUUUGCCCUUGAGGCGUGGCUUCCGGAGCUAACGCGUUAAAUCGACCGCCUGGGGAGUACGGCCGCAAGGUUAAAACUCAAAUGAAUUGACGGGGGCCCGCACAAGCGGUGGAGCAUGUGGUUUAAUUCGAUGCAACGCGAAGAACCUUACCUGGUCUUGACAUCCACAGAACUUUCCAGAGAUGGAUUGGUGCCUUCGGGAACUGUGAGACAGGUGCUGCAUGGCUGUCGUCAGCUCGUGUUGUGAAAUGUUGGGUUAAGUCCCGCAACGAGCGCAACCCUUAUCCUUUGUUGCCAGCGGUUAGGCCGGGAACUCAAAGGAGACUGCCAGUGAUAAACUGGAGGAAGGUGGGGAUGACGUCAAGUCAUCAUGGCCCUUACGACCAGGGCUACACACGUGCUACAAUGGCAUAUACAAAGAGAAGCGACCUCGCGAGAGCAAGCGGACCUCAUAAAGUAUGUCGUAGUCCGGAUUGGAGUCUGCAACUCGACUCCAUGAAGUCGGAAUCGCUAGUAAUCGUAGAUCAGAAUGCUACGGUGAAUACGUUCCCGGGCCUUGUACACACCGCCCGUCACACCAUGGG